rnacentral:rRNA from 1 species
UCAUAAAUCAGUUAUAGUUUAUUUGAUGGUUCCUUACUACUUGGAUAACCGUAGUAAUUCUAGAGCUAAUACAUGCAGAAAGUCCCGACUUCUGGAAGGGAUGUAUUUAUUAGAUCCAAAACCAGCGCGAGUUGCCCCCGGGUGGCUCGGUUGCUUGGUGAUUCAUGAUAACUGCUCGAAUCGCAGGGCCUUGUGCCGGCAAUGAUCCAUUCAAAUUUCUGCCCUAUCAACUUUCGAUGGCAAGGUAGUGGCUUGCCAUGGUGACAACGGGUGACGGAGAAUUAGGGUUCGAUUCCGGAGAGGGAGCCUGAGAAACGGCUACCACAUCCAAGGAAGGCAGCAGGCGCGCAAAUUACCCAAUCCCGACUCGGGGAGGUAGUGACAAUAAAUAACAAUGCUGGGCUAUCGUAGUCUGGCAAUUGGAAUGAGUACAAUCUAAACCCCUUAACGAGGAACAAUUGGAGGGCAAGUCUGGUGCCAGCAGCCGCGGUAAUUCCAGCUCCAAUAGCGUAUAUAAAAGUUGUUGCAGUUAAAAAGCUCGUAGUUGGAUUUCGGGGCAGCCCGGCUGGUCCGUCGAGAGGCGAGUACUGGUCGGCCGCCCUUCCUCUCGAAAGCCCCGACUGCUCUUCACUGUAGUGGUCGGGGAGUUCGGGACGUUUACUUUGAAAAAAUUAGAGUGUUCAAGGCAGGCAAUCGCCUGAAUACAUUAGCAUGGAAUAAUGGAAGAGGACCUCGGUCCUAUUUUGUUGGUUUCUAGGGCCGAAGUAAUGAUUAAGAGGGACAGUUGGGGGCAUUCGUAUUUAAUUGUCAGAGGUGAAAUUCUCGGAUUUAUGAAAGACGAACAACUGCGAAAGCAUUUGCCAAGGAUGUUUUCAUUAAUCAAGAACGAAAGUUAGGGGUUCGAAGACGAUCAGAUACCGUCGUAGUCCUAACCAUAAACUAUGCCGACUAGGGAUCGGCGGAAGUUAGUGUUUGACUCCCUCGGCACCUUAUGAGAAAU